rnacentral:rRNA from 1 species
GACGAACGCUGGCGGCGUGCCUAAUACAUGCAAGUAGGACGCACAGUCUAUACCGUAGCUUGCUACACCAUAGGCUGUGAGUUGCGAACGGGUGGGUAACGCGUAGGUAACCUGCCUAUUAGAGGGGGAUAACUAUUGGAAACGAUAGCUAAUACCGCAUAACAGUCUGUAACACAUGUUAGAUGCUUGAAAGAUGCAAUUGCAUCGCUAGUAGAUGGACCUGCGUUGUAUUAGCUAGUAGGUAGGGUAAUGGCCUACCUAGGCGACGAUACAUAGCCGACCUGAGAGGGUGAUCGGCCACACUGGGACUUAGACACGGCCCAGACCCCUACGGGAGGCAGCAGUAGGGAAUCUUCGGCAAUGGGGGGAACCCUGACCGAGCAACGCCGCGUGAGUGAAGAAGGUUCUCGGAUCGUAAAGCUCUGUUGUUAAGGAAGAACGAGCGUGAGAAUGGAAAGUUCAUACUGUGACGGUACUUAACCAGAAAGGGACGGCUAACUACGUG